GGUGCAGUUUUACGCAAGUGUCUCGUCACAGAGCCUGACUUGUGGCAUUUGAUGAACGCUGAGUUUAAAAGGACGACUCGGUCGGGAGAGACUGGCCUUGGGGCGGAGGGUGUGCACGUCGGAAGCGCCGAGGGGAGCACGCUCGCAGGCCUGGUUUCUAUGGACACUGAAUUUGGGGGACGGGAUGGAAGUAUAGCUAGUGGAGUUGGGACCGAUGCAUGCUAAGCACUGCACCAGAAUUAACUUUCAUGACCCUCACAACCUUAUGAGUGCUGAGAAUUGACCUUAGAGUCUCAUGCAUGGUAGGCAAGCAUUCUACCAUUGAGCUUUAUUCCAGCCCAGCAGAUACAGAGACGAAGCACCUGACAUCUGAAACUCAACCGAUCCACAGGUUUCCUAAUGUUGAAAGGGGUCUAAAUGUCGUUGCCACUUUUAGAUGGACCUUAGAUCCCAGUUAAUGAGCAGUCGCCAGCCAGUGGAAGAGAUACAUGAGCUUGGGUCUCAGAGGAUUGUGAGUUCCAUGAGGGGUGAAGUUGUGCCUCGCUCCUGCACCUUGGCUCUCCAGCGCCACGGACCGUGCAUCACCAAGCUCGUCGGCUGGAUAAAUGAGUGAUCAAUUAUAUCUCAUAAUCACGUUGAGAUUCCUUUGUCGAGAAGCCCACUCCUGAACUCCCUGUGCCGCGCUAAUCAUGCAGGGGAAAUUAAGAACAGGUAUUGAGCAAGAGCCAAACGGAAUCCUGCUUGUUGGGUGGCUCUUCCAGCCUUGGCUGUUCCUUCCAUCUCUGCAUCAAUACGACCUCAAUUCUCCUGUCACGAGAACUGUUCCUAAUUCUCUUUAAGUAAGCAACCAUGUCUUAGAAGACUGUGGUCUGUUUUUAUAUGAAAACAGAAAUCGCUGGCUACCCCCACCUGUACAACCUCACUGGGAACAGCCUUUCAUUAGGCUUCCUUUGGGGCCACCAACCAGCUCCCAAGUCAUGACACAGAGACUUAUUAGUUAUGAAUACUAGGCCUUAGCUUAGGCUUGUCCCACUAGCUCUUAUAACUUGAUUUAACCUGUUUCUCUUU